GAUGAACGCUAGCUACAGGCUUAACACAUGCAAGUCGAGGGACCGGCGCACGGGUGAGUAACACGUAUCCAACCUGCACUUUACUCGGGGAUAGCCUUUCGAAAGAAAGAUUAAUACCCAAUGUAAAGAAUGGGGAUUCGUUUCAUUGGGUUGUUGGUAAGUGAACGGCUCACAAAUCCUUCGAUGGAUAGUGGUUCGGGUAGGAAGUGCCCCCGCAUUGGAAAUGAGACCCGGACCAAUCUCGUACGUGGGGCAGCAGUGAGGAAUAUUGGGCAAGAGGCGUUGGCCUGAACAAGCCAAGUAUCUGAAAGGAUGAAGGCUUAUGGGUCGUAAACUUCUUGUAUAUAAGAAUAUGUAUUAUAUGAAUAAGGAUCGGCUAACUCCGUGCCAGCAGCCGCGGUAAUAC
rnacentral:rRNA from 1 species